CAUGAAGCUGGAAUCGCUAGUAAUGGCAGGUCAGCAUACUGCCGUGAAUACGUUCCCGGGCCUUGUACACACCGCCCGUCACACCAUGAGAGUUGGGAAUACCCGAAGCCUGUGAGCUAACUUUUAGAGGCAGCAGUCGAAGGUAGAAUCAAUGAUUGGGGUGAAGUCGUAACAAGGUACC
rnacentral:rRNA from 1 species